CUGCGCCUCUACACCCUCCCCUCCAAAUGCUCUAUCGGCGGCGCUUCUCAGCCUUGCACCGCCGUCGCACCUUUCGCCGCUGCCGCACCGAACCUCCAUUGCACUGAACUUACAUUGCCCCGUCACACCCCUUCCCGGCUCUUCUAUGUGUGUUGCUCACGUCGUUCCCUUUCGAACCCUAAUGUGCAUUUCUCCGCCAUUGUCUUCGUCGCCUUCGUCUACCUUCACAAUUUUAUAAAACUACAGCACCGAUCGCUCAUUCAGCGGCACUAACCAUAACCAAUGGCGUCCGCCGAGCAGCCAUUGAAGAAGUGAAAGCACGACACUCUCCCGGAAUCCCCACUGCCACACCACCGCCGCUAGCACCGCCGCUGUAAUCUCCUCAAACCCUAGCUCGUCCGCCUACUCCUCCUCCUCCGCCUCUAUCACAAGAUGAGGUCGUCACCAAGCAGAGGAACAAAGAUGAGGUUCGAACCAUGUUUGAGAGCUACCGUCGCAUCAAGCUCUUCUUGUCAAAGAAGGAAGGUCUGUGAAUUGGACUUGAUAUUCAACUUCCAUAAGUUUCUCAGUGGAAUAGAGAAUUAGGGGAAUAACAAAGUACUUCCAAGUCUGCAAUGAUAAAAAGGUAGGUCAUUCAUAUUCUUUUGUUCUUUGACUUUAUUUGAUAAUGUUUUGAAUACUAAUUAAAAUGAAAAUCAAGACUUGAAACUAGAGCUUGUGAAACUAAAAAUGAAGCUAAAAGAGAUCGAGAAUUCCAUACUGAUCAAAUCAGGAAUUAGCAGCCCUAUGGUGAGUGCCUUGCCUUCUAUGCAUUGAGGCUCUUUAUGAUUUCCAAAGCAUCUUGGCACCUACUUCCUCUGGCUUGGGCAUGGACAGGGACUACAGUAACUGGGGCCAUGACUGUCCUCACAAAUCAUUUUCAAAGAACAAAUUGGUUGAGGACAUUGUUGGAACUCUAGUUUCUUUGCCACUAAUUUUUCCAUAUGAGCCAUGGCGAUUUAUGCAUGACAGACACCAUGCAAAGACGAACAUGUUGUAUGAAGAUAUUGCUUGGCACCCUGUUUAGAAAGAUGAGUUUGAUUCAUCUCCUGUUUUGCAAAAUGCAAUAAUAUAUUUCGAAAUAGCUCACUGGUUGAUGUGGCACUUUGAUUUGAAGAAGUUCAGGACAAAUGAAGUAAAGAGGGUCAAGAUAAGUUUAGCUUGUGUUUUUGCCUUUAUGGCGAUUGGAUGGCCGUUAAUUAUUUAUAAGACAGGAAUCAUGCGAUGGAUCAAAUUCUGGUUCAUGCCAUGGCUGGAUAAUUUCACUUUACAUAUAAAAUUUGAUAUAUGGUUAUAUCAUUGGAGUUGGUAACAUAGUUUUCAGUAUCAUAUCACAUCAUAAGCCACACUGAUUAUUUUUUGAUAAAAGAUUAUCAUUUCAAUAGUGUUUAUAAAUUGUAAAAUGGAUACUAUUAAUUUAUUCUCAUACAAUCUGAUGAUCCCUUUUUUAGGCCUUUUCCUAACAUAUCUUGGGCUAUACUUGAUGAAAGGUCAUGGACAACCGGCACUUCUCUACCUUGUUCCAUGUACCUUAGUACUUUAAAAUUUUUGCAGCAAAAAAAGUGUAGUUCCCUUUUCACUUGAUCAAGAAGGCUGACUCAAUCAGGAAGCACUUGGAGAGGAAUAGGAAGGACAAGGACUCCAAAUUCAGGUUGAUUUUGGUAGAGAGCAGGAUCCACCGCCUUGCACGUUACUACAAGAAGACCAAGAAGCUUCCACCCGUAUGGAAAUAGCUUAUCUGUGGAUUACGGCCACAUACACAGAGAGUAGAAAAGGUGGUGGAGAUUGGCUUUCAACCUAGACUAGACCCAGGAAAGUUUGGAUGUUUGAAAUGUGUUUGUAACAUCCCAAAAUUGGGGGAAGAAGGACAAGCUGAGAAAGGAGCCAAGGAAGGAGGAUCUAAGGUUCUCGGCCAAGUUUUGCUGCAAACUAGCCACAUUCUCCCUUAAAGCUUCAUUUUUCAGCUUCAAAAAAAUGACUGACAGGAAGAGAAAGAGUAAGGCCACUGGCCCGAGUAAGAGGAAAAGAUCCUCACGGACUGCUGAAAUAACGGAAGAUUCAUUAUUAGAGAGACAGCUCAGUGAGAGGGACAAAGCCAAUCAAAACACAUCCUCCUCUGACCCGUCUAAGUUCACAAACCUCUACUCAGAGCUGAGGUUCCUGCAUUUUUUUGAGAAGCGAAGCCUCCAUAUUGAGAAGAAGCUUCAGAUACCUCCAGAGCUGCAAAAAUACACUGAGCAUCAGAUCGAGCAGUGGGGUUGGACAUUCCUGGAUCGGGACCUAGUAGGAGUGAAUGCAUUUUGGGUCUGCGAAUUCUACUACAAUUUUUACAGAGCGACCCUAGAUGCAGUUCUUCAAGGCAAGCAGAUAUUGAUUACAGAGGAGGCAAUCGAAGAGGUCCUCCAUUUUUGGCCUAAAGUGGCCGAGAAACAUGCUUUUCAAAAGGCAGAAGAGGACAUAUAGAUGAUGACUUUUGAUUGGGAUGCAGUGUUAAGAGUUAUAGUCGUCCACCCCAAUAGCCCUUGGAUCUAUGGGCGGUCGAAGCCGAGUCCGAAGGGCAGAGCAAUCAGAUAUCUCACAGUUGAGGCUAGGCUUUGGCAUCAAAUCCUAACAAACUAUGUGAUCCCUAGCACUCAUGAGACAGAGAUCACUUCAGAUAUGGAUGUGCUUAUCUGGUAUGUCUUGGAAGGAAAGCAGCUGUACCUUCCAAGGCUCCUCAGAAGGUAUAUGGCUCGGACACAUCACAUAGGCAACCUAGAAUUCCCAUGCCUGAUUACACAGUUGGGUCUGCAAGUUGAUGUAGUUUGGGAGGAUGCAGAUGAGAGGCCGACAGUUGUCAGUAGCAAGAGGAUCAUCCCGCAUAGUAAUUGGUUGCGGUCAUCCACUAGACGCCGAGGUCGUAGGACGACCACUACCACAGAGGCAGCCACCUCUUCAGCAGCACCCUCAGCACCUUCAACACCUGGACCAUCAUCAGCAUCACAACCACUCUAUCGUCUGAUCCACCGGUUGGUUGAGGACGUAGCACGUUUGGAACGCCACUCCGAACGAUGCUAUCAAAACAUCAGGAGGCAGCUUCCGACGUGGGAUUCAGCGAUAGAGGAGCCGGAUACCCCCUCUAAGCACAGUAGGGAGCGAGGAGAAGGAACAGGACGCACCAGCUUAGGAUAGCGACGAGGACUCCUUCCACUCCACCUGACUUCUGGAGCAUCGUGGACGGUGCUAAUUCUUAAGUGUGGGGAAGUCGUCCGACUGAUUGGCGAUGUUUAUUUUGGGUGAAAUGUUCUACUCCAAACACUUUUAUUUUAAUUUUUAGUAUGCUUUUGGACUUUUGUAUAUACUAUGUUAUUUUGAACACUUUUUAGUUAUUGCACUUUAUACCUUUAGUUUGUACGUACUCUAGAUUUCUAUUUUAGUUUUACAUACUUUUUACCUUAUUUUAUGUUGUCUAGUGUAAAUACAUGGUUUAGUUGUAGUUGAUUAGUGGUGAUUGGACAAUGCG